rnacentral:miRNA from 2 species
UCUCAUCCCAUAACGGAGUCCCGA